UUGGCCUUCAGUCCAUCAGCCAUGGACAGAGGUGUGCUGCUGGUCCUGUUGUGUCUGCAGGCUUUCCUGCUCAUCACAGCCUUCACUUCUACAGAUGCAGCCGCUCUGGUGAAAGAUGAUCAACAACAACAGUCUAUUGAUCUGGUGAAGAGAGGGACUUCUAAGCCACCAAUAAAGAUGGGAUGUGCACACCUGCCCGGAGGAUGUGGCUUCCUGGACCAGUAGUUUCUUGGUGGUAUACUGGUACAGCUGACAAUGCCACAGCACCGUUUUCACCUUUCCAUUCAUUUGAAUGAGAAAGUGUGGCUGGUAUUGUAUAACAGAAUCUGCCAUCUGCGCUGAACAACACUGCCAUCAAACUAGAGGCUUUGCUCUUUUCAAACAGUUGAAGGAUGUGAAAAUGACAGCUAACCUGAACCCUCCAGUCCUCGUUUCUCAUAAAUCAUCAACCCAAGAACAAAUCUCAUCGCAAAACAUAUUCAAUUUUUAAUGUAAAUUUAUAUUUUAGUACUCAUGAGUGUUUAUUACGUUGAUGGCACAGGAUACUUCUCUAUUAUUUAUCUAGUUUUUUGUUUCUAAAUCAAUUAUCAAUGAAAGAAGAUCAGUAAAUUUGGAGAUUGCCAUAUUAAGAACAUUUCCAUCUGCAAAACAAAUCAUUUUCUGCAGACAUGUUGCAUAUGCUAUCUCGCUUCAAUGUGCUUUUUAAUUACAAAGACAAAAUUGUUUAAUAUCUGUUAAAUAAAUGUUUUAGUUAAAACAAAACAAAUUUGCCUUUAGAGACAAUAUGCUAAGAUGUGUAUCAUUCUCUGCAAGUGCUCUAUUAUGUGACCACAAGAUGGAGUCAGUCAGCCUGAUGUCCUGUUAUCUACUAUGUGGCAAAAAAUAAAGGGCUUUAACAAAAAUCCA